rnacentral:tRNA from 1 species
UUAUAGCUCAGUGGUAGAACACUUGCCUUUCAUGCAGGGGGUCCUGGGUUUAAUACCCAGUAA